UGAAGAAGGCCUUAUGGUUGUAAAGCACUUUAAGCGAGGAGGAGGCUACUAGUAUUAAUACUACUGGAUAGUGGACGUUACUCGCAGAAUAAGCACCGGCUAACUCUGUGCCAGCAGCCGCGGUAAUACAGAGGGUGCGAGCGUUAAUCGGAUUUACUGGGCGUAAAGCGUGCGUAGGCGGCCAUUUAAGUCAAAUGUGAAAUCCCCGAGCUUAACUUGGGAAUUGCAUUCGAUACUGGAUGGCUAGAGUAUGGGAGAGGAUGGUAGAAUUCCAGGUGUAGCGGUGAAAUGCGUAGAGAUCUGGAGGAAUACCGAUGGCGAAGGCAGCCAUCUGGCCUAAUACUGACGCUGAGGUACGAAAGCAUGGGGAGCAAACAGGAUUAGAUACCCUGGUAGUCCAUGCCGUAAACGAUGUCUACUAGCCGUUGGGGCCUUUGAGGCUUUAGUGGCGCAGCUAACGCGAUAAGUAGACCGCCUGGGGAGUACGGUCGCAAGACUAAAACUCAAAUGAAUUGACGGGGGCCCGCACAAGCGGUGGAGCAUGUGGUUUAAUUCGAUGCAACGCGAAGAACCUUACCUGGCCUUGACAUACUAGAAACUUUCCAGAGAUGGAUUGGUGCCUUCGGGAAUCUAGAUACAGGUGCUGCAUGGCUGUCGUCAGCUCGUGUCGUGAGAUGUUGGGUUAAGUCC
rnacentral:rRNA from 1 species